UACGUAGGGUGCAAGCGUUGUCCGGAAUUAUUGGGCGUAAAGAGCGUGUAGGCGGCCAUGUAGGUCCGGUGUGAAAACUCGAGGCUUAACCUCGAGAUGUCAUCGGAAACCAUUUGGCUAGAGUCCGGAAGAGGAGAGUGGAAUUCCUGGUGUAGCGGUGAAAUGCGCAGAUAUCAGGAAGAACACCAAUGGCGAAAGCAGCUCUCUGGGACGGUACUGACGCUGAGACGCGAAAGCGUGGGGAGCGAACAGG
rnacentral:rRNA from 1 species